UACGUAGGCAGCGAGCGUUGUUCGGAGUUACUGGGCGUAAAGGGUGUGUAGGCGGUCCUCUAAGUUUGGUGUGAAAUCUCCCGGCUCAACCGGGAGGGUGCGCCGAAAACUGGAGGGCUAGAGUGCGGGAAGGGAGAGUGGAAUUCCUGGUGUAGCGGUGAAAUGCGUAGAUAUCAGGAGGAACACCGGUGGUGUAGACGGCUCUCUGGACCGCGACUGACGCUGAGACACGAAAGCGUGGGUAGCAAACAGG
rnacentral:rRNA from 1 species